GAAAUUACGAAAGCAAAAAAUUAUGGCGGUAUUUUAAGCUUUUCAGAGGAAUUUGCUCUUUAAUGGAUAAAACACCUAAAUCUUACUUAAAUUUGUAAAUUCAAUUUGUAUACCACUAUAAAAACAAUUAAUAACUUCAAUUGUUAAAAUUUAUUAAAUUAAGUUAUAUUAAGUCAAGGUGCAGUAAAAAUUUAAGAAUGAAGUGAAUUACAUUUCUUUUUAGAGAGAGAAAUUUAAAUAACAUUUAGGAUUUGAAAGUAAAAUUGAAAUAGAAUGUCAAUUUGAAUUAAGCUCUAAAAUAUGUAC
rnacentral:rRNA from 1 species